rnacentral:rRNA from 1 species
GCGGUUAAGGGCAUACGGUGGAUGCCUAGACUCUCAGAGGCGAUGAAGGACGUGGCAUGGCUGCGAUAAUCUUCGGCGAGGUGCCCAGCAACCUACGACCCGGAGGUCUCCGAAUGGGGAAACCCUAUCCGGUAAACCCGGAUAGUCUCGGUAUUAUAUCGAGACGCAAACCAGGGGAAGUGAAACAUCUCAGUACCCUGAGGAAAAGAAACCAAUAGGAAUUCCCUAAGUAGCGGCGAGCGAAACGGGAAGAGCCCAAACCGAGCACCACUCUUUGAUUUUAAGGUAUACUAUUCACAUGUGGGUGGUAUACAUCAUUCAGCAAUCUUUUUCCAAAGAGAUAUAUGUAGGAGUGACGAGUGAUUUAACCAGAAGAAUGGAAGAACAUAACUCUCACAGAAAAGGAUCCUAUACGCGGAGAAAGAAUGAAUAUGAAUGGGUUCUUGUUUAUGCCGAAGCAUAUCGGGAUAAACAAGAUGCAUAUGUACGUGAGUUUCGUUUGAAACAACGUGGACGUGCAAAACAGGAAGUCCUUAAGAGAGCAGCACGAAGUCUGCUUCCUUAAAAUCAAAGAGUGGUGCUCGGGGUCGUAAGGCGGUAAUGUCGCUUUUAUAGUGAGAGAUACGUGUGAAGGUUAAUGGAACCGACUGGGAAGUCGGACCCUAGAGGGUAAUAGUCCCGUACAUGAAAACCAGAUCCGAUCUUUGUUACCGUUCUUGAGUACUCCAAGACACGAAUAGCUUGGGGGAAUUCGCCGGAACUAACCGGCAAGGCUAAAUACUCUGAGAGAUCGAUAGUGAACCAGUACCGUGAGGGAAAGGUGAAAAGAACCCCGGAGAGGGGAGUGAAAUAGAUCUGAAACCGUAUGCCUACAAGGAGUCGGAGCCGAGCACCACUUUUGCUAAAGAUGUGUUUAUUCGAAAUGUUAUUGUGAGAAAUUACAAUAUGUUUUUGUAUUGAAAUAACAUCAGAAGUAAAAGUGGUGCUCGGUGACGGCGUGCCUAUUGAAGAAUGAGCCAACGAGUUGAUGUAUGCGGCUUGGCUAAGUCCUUGUCGGACGGAGCCGUAGGGAAACCAAGUGUGAAUAGCGCGUAUUUGGUCGUAUACAUCAGACCCGAAGCCAGAUGAGCUUGCCAUGAGCAGGGUGAACGCAACGGAGACGUUGCGGGAGGCCCGAACCAGUUGGUCGUGCAAUUCCAUUGGAUGACUUGUGGUAAGGAGUGAAAAGCUAAUCGAAUCUGGUAAUAGCUGGUUCUCUCCGAAACAGCUUUAGGGUUGGCGUCGCGUGAUCCUUCCGGGGGUAGAGCACUGGAAGGAACAAACAGGGGGAAACCUCGUUGUUCCUAUCAAACUCCGAAUACCGGAAAUUAUAGCGCGGCAGUUAGACUCCGGGGGCGAAGCUCCGGUGGUCGAAAGGGAAACAGCCCAGAUCGCAAUCUAAGGUCCCUAAAUCUAUACUCAGUACACUUAAGGAGGUGAAAUUUCUCAGACAAUGAGGAGGUUGGCUUAGAAGCAGCCAUCCUUUAAAGAAAGCGUAACAGCUCACUCAUUCAGAGAUCUUGCGCCGCAGAUGAUCGGGGUUAAGUAUAGUACCGAAGGUGCGGGC